GAGGCUACUUAAGAGCAGUGCAGGGACAGAGAGUUCAAUUAAAUUCAGUUCAGUUUGGUGUGGUCAGUUGAGUAUCACUGUGCGCAGUUCAGUUCAGAGGAGAGCAGUUGAGUUCAUUACUGCUCAGCUUGAAGAAGAGUUUGAGCCGGAGCAGCUGAGUUGAACCAGCCAGCCAGAGUUCAGAAAGAAGUAGAAAGACUGAGUUUAUUUACCAGUAAGUUUCAGAGGCUGAAACACUCUAGGCCUAGGUCAGCAAAUGGAGGCUGGAAGCUGAAGCCUUCAAGGUCCAGACUUGCAGAUCAGGAUGUACUGCCUCAGAUCCCCCGGUGUUCUGCAGACCUUUCCCUCUUGAAUCUAAACUGGAUCCUGAGUAAGCUUUUCCAUGGGAUCCUGACACGGUUUUAAAGGGGAAGUCUCAACAAGGACUUAGGAAAGUCAGGUAACAUCCACUGAGACAAGCUUGCUAAGUAAGCACUUUAGAGGCCAGGCGUCCUUCCUUCCGCGC
rnacentral:lncRNA from 1 species